UAGUAAGAAGUACGAUGGCGGACGGGUGGAGUAACGUGUAAAGAACUUGCCCUCUAGACUGGGAUAACAGAUAGAAAUGUCUGAUAAUACUGGAUAUUAUUGUUACAUGGCAUCAUGUAGGAAUGAAAGGAUAAGAUUGCUAGAGGAGAGCUUUGCAUCCUAUUAGCUAGUUGGUAAGGUAGAGGCUUACCAAGGCGAUGAUAGGUAGCCGGCCUGAGAGGGUGGACGGCCACAAGGGGACUGAGAUACGGCCCUU
rnacentral:rRNA from 1 species